CGGUAACACCGCCCACCUCGAGUGGUAGCCACUAUUAUUGGGCCUAAAGCGUUCGUAGCCGGUUUGGUAAAUUCUUGGGUAAAUCGUACCGCUUAACGGUGCGGAUUCCGGGGACACUACCAGACUUGAGACCGGGGGAGAUCAGAGGUACUUGUGGGGGAGCGGUGAAAUGUUGUAAUCCUGCAGGGACCACCAGUGGCGAAGGCGUCUGAUCAGAACGGCUCUGACGGUGAGGAACGAAACCCUGGGGCGCAAACGGGAUUAGAUACCCCGGUAGUCCAGGGCGUAAACGCUGCUGACUUGGUGUUGGGGAUCCUACGAGGAUGUCCAGUGCUGGCGCGAAGGUAUUAAGUCAGCCGCCUGGGGAGUACGGUCGCAAGACUGAAACUUAAAGGAAUUGGCGGGGGAGCACUGCAACGUGUGGAGCGUGCGGUUUAAUUGGAUUCAACGCCGGAAAACUCACCGGGGGCGACGGUUACAUGAAGGCCAAGCUGAUGACUUUGCCUGAUUUUCCGAGAGGUGGUGCAUGGCCGCCGUCAGUUCGUACCGUAAGGCGUUCUGUUAAGUCAGAUAACGAACGAGACCUCCGUCACCAUUUGCUAUUCUUCUCUCCGGAGAGGGAGCACUAUGGUGGUACCGCCACUGUUAAAGUGGAGGAAGGAGGGGGCAACGGUAGGUCAGUAUGCCCCGAAUCUCCCGGGCUACACGCGCGCUACAAAGGGCAGGACAAUGGGCUUCGACACCGAAAGGUGGAGGCAAUCCCGAAACCUGCUCGUAAUUCGGAUUGAGGGCUGCAAUUCGCCCUCAUGAAGCUGGAAUACGUAGUAAUCGCGGGUCAACAUCCCGCGGUGAAUAUGCCCCUGCUCC
rnacentral:rRNA from 1 species